GACGAACGCUGGCAGCGUGCUUAACACAUGCAAGUCGAGCGGUAAGGCCCUUUCGGGGGUACACGAGCGGCGAACGGGUGAGUAACACGUGGGUGACCUGCCCUCAGCUCUGGGAUAAGCCUGGGAAACCGGGUCUAAUACCGGAUAUGACUCCAUGACGCAUGUUGUGGGGUGGAAAGCCUUGUGCGGCUGAGGAUGGGCCCGCGGCCUAUCAGCUUGUUGGUGGGGUGAGGCCUACCAAGGCGACGACGGGUAGCCGGCCUGAGAGGGCGACCGGCCACACUGGGACUGAGACACGGCCCAGACUCCUACGGGAGGCAGCAGUGGGGAAUCUUGCGCAAUGGGCGAAAGCCUGACGCAGCGACGCCGCGUGAGGGAUGACGGCCUGGU
rnacentral:rRNA from 1 species